rnacentral:misc_RNA from 1 species
GAUGAAGAACGUAGCGAAAUGCGAUACGUAAUGUGAAUUGCAGAAUUCAGUGAAUCAUCGAAUCUUUGAACGCAUAUUGCGCUCUUUGGUAUUCCGAAGAGCAUGCUUGUUUGAGUAUCAGUAAACACCUCAACCUCUUCUUGAUUUUUCAAAAGGAGGGUGGACUUGAGCUAUCCCAACAACCUUUACCGGUCGGCGGGCGGCUUGAAAUGCAGGUGCAGCUGGACUUUUAUCUGAGCUAAAAGCAUAUCUAUUUAGUCCUCGUCAAACAGGAUUAUUACUUUUGCUGCAGCUAACAUAAAGGAUAAUUGUCCUCUUUGCUGACUGAUGCAGGAUUUUACGACACUUUAUGAGUUGUUCAACUCGAUCUCAAAUCAAGUAAGACUACCCGCUGAACUUAAGCAUAUCAAUAAGCGGAGGA